ensembl:snoRNA small nucleolar RNA U109
UUGCAUGUUUUGGCCCAUGGCCACUGUUGGCCACUCUCUAUUUUUGGAGUGUGGACAAAUACAAACAUGCUAGAUAAAAACACAUGGAGUUAACAGGGCCACCAGUCUCUCAAGGACAGACUGAGUUGGUAGUAUAAUACUCCAACAUUC